AGAGUUUGAUCAUGGCUCAGGACGAACGCUGGCGGCGUGCUUAACACAUGCAAGUCGAACGAUGAAGCCCUUCGGGGUGGAUUAGUGGCGAACGGGUGAGUAACACGUGGGCAACCUGCCCUCCACUCUGGGAUAACUCCGGGAAACCGGGGCUAAUACUGGAUAUGACCUGCUCCUGCAUGGGGGUGGGUGGAAAGUUUUUCGGUGGAGGAUGGGCCCGCGGCCUACCAGCUUGUUGGUGGGGUGAUGGCCUACCAAGGCUUUGACGGGUAGCCGGCCUGAGAGGGCGACCGGCCACACUGGGACUGAGACACGGCCCAGACUCCUGCGGGAGGCAGCAGUGGGGAAUAUUGCACAAUGGGCGGAAGCCUGAUGCAGCGACGCCGCGUGAGGGAUGACGGCCUUCGGGUUGUAAACCUCUUUCAGCAGGGACCAAGCGUGAGUGAGUGUACCUGCAGAAGAAGCACCGGCUAACUACGUGCCAGCAGCCGCGGUAAUACGUAGGGUGCGAGCGUUGUCCGGAUUUAUUGGGCGUAAAGGGCUCGUAGGCGGCCUGUCGCGUCGGGAGUGAAAGCCCACUGCUUAACGGUGGGUCUGCUUCCGGUACGGGCGGGCUGGAGUAUGGCAGGGGAGACUGGAAUUCCUGGUGUAGCGGUGGAAUGCGCAGAUAUCAGGAGGAACACCGGUGGCGAAGGCGGGUCUCUGGGCCAUUACUGACGCUGAGGAGCGAAAGCGUGGGGAGCGAACAGGAUUAGAUACCCUCGUAGUCC
rnacentral:rRNA from 1 species